GCCAUGCAAUCUAGGCCAACGUUGAUUUGAAAGACUGCCACUACAAUGUUGAUUUAGGCCACGGGAAAUGAAUCUAUUGGACUGCUGCAUUUGAGAUUAAGCUGCUGGUAGAUUCUUUAAUUGCACAACCGCGUUAUGGGUUGAAUCUCCUUUAGGGAAACACUGCUUGAGUUGUUGUUAGGCAAAUGGAUUGGGCUGCUGGCAUGGGCUGGUUUUAGUGGAACGACACCGUUUGGAGAAGCUUGGUAGCUGCUACCUUUGCAAAUGGGCAGAGAGCUCGUUCAUUAUGGGAUUUUUCCCCAAUUCCCUCAACCCUCAACCUAUAAGGUUCUUGCGAAAAGAAAAGAAGCAGAGUAGAACCAGGCACGGGCUCAAUGGUUGAUUUGAGAGCUGAUAGAGGAAGAAGCCCAAAAGGAUGUUUGGCCCAAAAGCUAAUCGGACCAGAAGGAUGAUCGGAAGCGGUCGACGGUUGAAGAGCAAAGUGAUUCAGAGUUAGUUGGAGUUGACUCUCGAAGCUUCUAAGUUUGUUUUCAGUUCUUCCCCCUUUUCCCCUUUCCCCCUUUUUUUCUUUUCUGUUUUGGAUUUUCCCCUAUAAAAAGGGAAGUUUUGUAAUGAAUAGUACGUGCACUGGGUGACAGACGGUGUACUUAGGGUAGAAAUGGGUAGUGGGUGACAAACGCCACUUUUUCCAAAUUCUUGCCUUUAGUCUUAGACUUUAUCAGCUUUUCAUAGAGGUAGAACUCUGUUCUUUUCAAUGGAACUCGAAGAUGAUCACAUUGGGAGACAGGCUUUGCAGUUUUCUUUGAUUUCUGGGAUGUCGGUGAAGUCAAGGCAUUAGACUCGGUCGAUCAUCUUCAAUAUCAUGAAUAACAUAAGGAUGAGCUACCUUAUUGUUUUGUCUCUACAAAGUUAGCAUCUCCAAGCUGAUUGUACAGGUGUGCAAGUGCAACAACUCCCCAUUCAUAUCUGUCACAUGAUGCAGAUCUCUAAAGACAAUUAAGUAGGACACACGAACGUAAGUGGCACUCAUAUUCACGAAAAUUGUGCAUCCAACAAGAUGCAACAAAUAGGCUUGUAUUACAUACUCAUACUAUUGGUUCACACGACAGUCAUUAUAUACGUCUCUCAACAAACUCGAUCUUAUGUGAGGACCACGAGAUUACCUAAUCUCAAGCGUAGCCCUCGUUCAGUCCACUCCUAAACUAAAUUUCGAAAUCUG
rnacentral:sRNA from 1 species